GGUGCUUAGGAAUUGCUCAAUAAGUGGUGAAAUCCCCCCGUACAUUGGUGAUUGGUCAAGGUUAACAUACCUAGACUUGAGCUUUAACAGCUUAACUGGUGGAAUACCAAAUUCCAUGAAAAUGAAAAAGCUGAAUUUAAGUAAGAUGUUUCCUACAGGAAAUAUGCUUAAUGGCACAGUAACUUCCUGGGUUCCUGAUACCAUUCAAGACAAGGCGGACUUGUCAUAUAAUAAUUUUGAAAUUUCACGUGAUGGUCCGAAGAUAGGAGAAGGAAAGCUGAACAUGUAAUAACGGCUACUUCAUUUUCUUCUUCCUUUUUUUUUUCACUUGCAAGCAUAUUAUUGUCU